rnacentral:lncRNA from 7 species
AGUAUGAUCUUGCCCUCUCGUGCUUCCUCUGCGCAGGAAAUACACAGAAGUAACAAAGAAAGGACAGCUUCUGGCUAGCAAAAGGGCAGCCUGCCCUGCUAUUCUGCAGCUGUGUAAACAUCAGCCGCAACCUCAGCUGCUGCUGUGAGGGAAGGACACGGAGCUGUGGGGAGCUGGGGGUUCCUCCAGCAGCUUUCCUUGUCCAGAGCUGAUCCUGUAUUUUCUGGAAGCAUUUGCUUUGACUCCAUCUGUCCUUGGAUUCGGCCUCCUGCAUGUCCCAGAGAGUCCCUCAGCCUCAGGAGAGCAACAGCAGCAGGAAUGAGCCUUUCUCACCACACCGCUGGCAGAAGAGGAGUUUGAUACCUGCGGGGUAGUAACAAGCAGAACCAUUCAGAUUCUGUCCACAAAUCCACGUGGUGAACGCAGCUCAGGCCUGCAGCACAAGGCUGUUGAGCACUGAUGCGAAGGCCUGCACCAACCCUCGUCCGGCGCUGGGCCCAGCCGUUGGACUGGGGUUGUAAAAGCGGAAAAAUAAGCGUGUGUUGUGCUUAGGCUGCAGCCAUUCUGCCUAAAUUGGGGAACAUUCUGCAAAUAUUUCAAGUCCAAUACUACUGGUGCUGUCAUUGCUGCCUCACAGUCACCGGGCUGUAGCAGCCAUAGGUUGGUCUCAGUGCCUGCAGCUGGGCAGCCUCUCGUUUGGACAAGCAAGACUAUCAAAAGACUGAAAAUCGGCCACGUGAAUGUGUUCAUGGCCACUUACAGGAGUGGGGAACUCUGCCUCCUGGCUGCAGAAGCAUUGCAAAUCUCCUCGCAAUACAACCAUGUUCUGAUCAAGUACACAGCAGAUGUGCCACAACCUACAAGGGCAUGGAUGGAUGGACAGACAGACGGAUGGAUGGGCAGUGGCUGUACUGCCAGCCUUCUCUCAGAACAUUCUGUUUUUCUCUUGGUUCCCACACGGCAUUGUGGCAGUCACAACUUCCAAACAAGACCGUGUGCAUUUCUGGCUCUCCUGUAGGACUCAUCUCAUGCAGCUUGGUGCGAUGUUCAGUGCUACCCAAGACACCAACAUUCCAGCACUGCUAUGCCCCGUGCCUGGUGUGCUCUGCACGGGCUGUGGAUAACACCAGUCCCACAUCAAUAACAUCUGCAAAUGCUGCUUUCUGAGAGGUACAAUCAAUCCUGCCCAGUGGGUCCCGAGGUACAAAAGUGAGCUCACAAACUAUGCUUGCCAUCUGCAGUUCACCCCCUGCAUCUGAAGCCUGGCAUCCUCACCCAAUGUGCUGAUGAGGCCAUAGCAAACAGCACGAGGUACUUGACAGAACAAGUCCAAGGGGUUCCCUGCAUUGAUGCCAAAAUCCAUUGGUUGCUUUGUUUUGCAGCUUUUUGGUCUUGAAUAAAGCCACCAGCUCCCCACAAGCAGCUCUACAUGGCUGUGCCCAGUUGGGAUAAUGUCGUUGCGUGGUCGCAUGCCCCAUGUGCUCCUGUGGGGACUGUCCCCUGGGACUCUGGCAGGUCCUGGGUGCAGGGUUGAGAUACAAUCCUGGAAUCAUUAAGGUUGGAAAAGACCUCUAUGAUCACCAAUUCCAAACAUCGACCCGCCCUCACCAUGCCCACUGACCACGUCCCUCAGAGCCACACUCCAAUGGUUUUUGAACACCUCCAGGAGUGGUGACUCCACCUCCUCCCUGGGCAGCUGUGCCACUGCAUCACCACUCUUUCAGAAAAUAAAUGUUUCCUAAUAU